ACCUAUGCUCACAAGCAUUAACACAAGCCCAAGUGUAGCCAGGAGUUGGCUGAUGCAUUCUUCAGUUGAGUGUGAGAAAACAUCCCUUGCAGGCUGGCAAAGGCAAGUCCCAGAGCUGCACAGAGCAGCAGCAGGAAUAGAGGCCAAGCUGUCCCUGGUUUCUGAAGAGGGAGAACCUUGAGAGUGAGGCAUGGGACUGUUCAUGCACAAAAGAAGAAGAAGAAGAGGUGCAUGGUACCAUGGGAUCUUUUCCAAAGCGUGACACUUAGUGAUGGUCCUCCAUGCCCCUGAUCAGCUGCUGAGGCUUUGUUUGCCUUCAUCCCAGAUGGAGCUGCUCUUUCUUGAGCCUGAGGAAUGAGAAUGGUCACUAGCAGUACAGAGAAAAAAGCCAGGAUCACCUAGCAUCUAUUAGGAGACAGGGCUGCUGCCUUGGCAUUGUUUCAAAAGACAAAAAAGGAUCACCCAAGCUGAUAUCAAUCACUCCUGAAAUACCAGAAUAUAAAAAACUCUAGCAAAGAAUGCAAUAAAAAUGGACAAUCUCGAUCAACAUAUCAGUAACUGCUGGGAACAAACUGUCCAUGCUCAGUGAACAUCAAAGCAGAACUAAAUACUGGAUCCCAGACUUGUCCUCUUUCAAGGCUGCAAUAUAGCAGCUCAUCAAGGUGCAGCUGCCCAGCAGAAUGAAGCAGUGAGAAAGGCAGAGAACGGUGGAGAGCUCUGCUUCCAAAGGCAGGAUUUUCCUAUGGGUCAUGUUUCUCCUACAUGAGAGAGGAGAAACACAGCAAUUACGGUGUAUGAACAAAGGCAGUAGCUAUGCUGACUAGGCUGGAAAGUAUUUAGAAUUAAUAGUCAUUCCUAAAUGACCAUCUACCAUGAAAGGAUAAGUUAGUGUCUGAUGAGACACACUGCAUCAGUGCCCCAUCUACGGGGAACCCAGUGGGAACAUGGAUGCUGAAAGUGUGGUUGUGCCUGUGUUUUCGCCUCUUCAUAGAUCUCCUGCUUUAGAAACAUAAAGAGAACAUAACAGGCUUUUGUGAAUUUUGCCUGUCAGCUAAAGCCUUCAUAUUAACUGCAUUUUCCUGGAUCACCAGACACACGUUUUGGUAAACCUAGCAAUGGAAUGCAAACUUAUUGAUAAGCAUGGAUGGACAUCUCGCGAGAGGGGCGACGAGAAACCCAUGACCAAGAAACUGACCAACUGUGUAUAACAUUCCAUUCACGUGAAUACUUCAUAUAAAAGUGGGAGAUCACGAGGAUCUUGCUCCCUUUUGCCCUUUUCCCUUCUGCUUAUGGCCGACAUUAGAAGAGGACCUUGCUAGUCAUCCCUGCGAACUGAGGCCUAGUGAGAGACUGAAUCCAGCUCCGGUUGGCUGCAGAGUCUAAUCCAGGACUUCAGGUGCCGGCUCUGCAGUUGCUGAGACUUUCAAGAUUGGUUUUGUAUAUUUUGUAUUAUUUUCUCUAUUCUUAUUAGUAGCAUUAGUAAAACAUCUUUAAUUUUUUCCAA